rnacentral:misc_RNA from 1 species
GAUGAAGAACGUAGCGAAAUGCGAUACUUGGUGUGAAUUGCAGAAUCCCGUGAACCAUCGAGUCUUUGAACGCAAGUUGCGCCCGAAGCCAUUAGGCCGAGGGCACGUCUGCCUGGGCGUCACACAACGUUGCCCCCCCAAACCUCGACUUCCAAGAGGACGGGGGGCGGAUGCUGGCCUCCCGUGUGCCACGGCUCGCGGUUGGCCUAAAUGCGAGUACUCGGCGACGAGCGCCGCGGCAAUCGGUGGUUGCGAAACCUCGGUUGCCCGUCGUGUGCGGUCGUCGCGCAUCGAGGGCUCGAAAAAAUUGCCGGGCUCCGGCUCGGCUUUCAACGCGACCCCAGGUCAGGCGGGGUUACCCGCUGAAUUUAAGCAUAUCAAUAAGCGGAGGA